GUGGCUGUAAGAAUUAUUCAAAUUAAAUGAUCUGAAUGCAGACAAGCAAUCAAAAGUAGCUUUGCUUUGUUUUAAAGCAACAGUUCAUCAUUAUGGAAAAGUGUUAGAAGUUCAGAUUGACUCCUCAUGUCUGAACGUCAUUAAAACAAACUCCAAACAUGUGACCCAGAGCUCUGCAGGACCAACAAAGUUAUCUGCAGUUUGGACACCUGAGCUUCACUGAAGAAGGCCAUGGGAAACUGUCAAAAGCCCCAGGAAAAGAUUGAAGAGCGAUAAUACAAACUGUCCAAUGAGAGCAAAUGAACAUUUAAAGAUGCAUUAAUUGAUGAUGGGAGAUAAACUCUUCAACAAACCAAAAAGCACUAAAAUCUUCAAAAUGCAUGAAUCAAACAUCUCCUGUCAUCUGCAGUUUGGACACCAGAGGGCCUCACAUGUCUGUCUGAUGAUUUAACUUCAUGAACAAAUGUCAGAGGACAAGAUGUAAAAAUAACUAUUCUUUAUUGAGAAACACAAGAAAAACAGAAUCAGAUGGAAGAAGAUCAGAAGAUGGAUUUCCUAAAACAUGAGGAGACGACUUUGCAGUUGUUCUCGGUGAAAUCUCGGCAGAUGCCUCGGACCAGCUGCGGGAUUAACUCGGCAAGGCCAGUGAACUCUCUGGUGAAGAAGGU